GUAUGUAUUUAGUUACUUGGCUGGUUUUUUGUAUUUUCUCUCAAGUUAUACGCGUGCACUUAAUGCUGGCCAAACUUUUCAUAUGAAAUUACUUAUGUAUGUACGUUGACUCGGGGGUUUUUGAGAAUUAAGUGGAUAAUUUCCAUCGUGAGUGACCACCCUGGAUGAGUCCAUUAUAAAAUUGAAUUGGUCAUGCAACCAGACACAUGUGCAAUUCAGUUUUUAAUUGGUUUGGCGACUUUGAAAAUUUAUCAGGAUUUUGAGUAAAACCUUUGGGAAAGUCAGGAACCCCUUGUUGUGUUGGUACAAAUUAUGAGAAGACAGAAUGUUGACGGGUAAAUUUUCCUCAAAGGCUGGGCAAUUGUCUACUCGCAAAUGAUAAUUGGGCUCAUCCAACCCCAUUUCACAUGCCCGAAAGAGGAGAAGACCAAUAAAAUAGAAAAAAGAGCCGAAAGGAAGGAAGUGAUGUAAAGUGGAGUAAUUUUGAGGAGAUGGAACAAUCGGCAACUCGCCAUCGUCUGUCUGAUCUGUAAAUCAGUGGAAUUUGUAAAUUGAGACCAGCUCCCAUUUCAGCUACUUUGUUUAACAAUUGUUAAAGUAAUGAGGUCUAUUGAAUCCAAGGGGGAAAAUUGAUAAAAAGAAAAUCAGGAAACAUUGGAGAUUAUUGGAUAUAACUCACGAAAAUAGGAUUAUCUAUUCUAAUUUUGAAGAAUAUUUAUGAUCAAUAUAACGUAUCUGCUUUUGAUUUUCUUAUGUAGGAAAAAUUCUUCACCCGUAAUACUUCAAACUACUAAUUUGUAUCCAAGAAAGACUCAAAUUUUGGAUUUCAUGGAAAGGAACUGUCAAAAUGAGCCAACUUUUCCACAUUUCACAUUCAUCUCAUUUUCCAAAGAAAACUUGAGCCUUGGGCAGUAUCCAUCCACCUUCUUGGUUUGACACCUGACGUUUUUCCGAAUUAUGCAAUUCUUUCCUUCAUCACGCUGCUGCUGCUGAAAACGAAAACUUGAAAGCGAUAAUAUGUAAAGGAAAGUGGGAAAAUAUUAUGCAGGAAAUACAACCUUAAGGCAAACAGUCAAUUUUUGUAAAGUUACUGAUACAGUUCGGUCAGCAUUGUAUAAAGCUGAGAAAAAAACAGAGAAGUGAUCUUGUGCCCACAAGGAGUGGAAAAUUACACAAAAAGUUAUAAAAAAAUAUUAGAUUUUUCUCUGGAUAAAUAAGUUUUAUAGAUAAAAACGGUCCCCAAAAAACAUUAAUUGUUAAUAUAUUCAACUCAAGCUAACAAUUUUUUAACAAUUUUUUAGUAAUUUUCGAUUUUUACAAUAAUUUUAUAAUAAUUUUACCUGAAAAUAUCACUGAAAUUGCGUAGGACGUAUGUAAACGUGACUUGGUGUACAUAUGCUGGAGUCAAAUUUAUUUAUAAAGGAUUUUUGAAGGAUUUAAACAUCA